rnacentral:tRNA from 1 species
GGGGGUAUAGCUGAGUGGUACAAUGCUUGCCUAGCAUGCAUGAAGCUCUGGGUUCUGUUCCCAGUACUGCAA